GCCGGGGUGGUGAAACGGUAUACACGCUAGGUUUAGGACCUAGUGCCCCUUAAAGGCGUGCAGGUUCAAUUCCUGUCCCCGGCA
rnacentral:tRNA from 1 species